rnacentral:rRNA from 1 species
UACGGGAGGCAGCAGUGGGGAAUAUUGCACAAUGGGCGCAAGCCUGAUGCAGCCAUGCCGCGUGUAUGAAGAAGGCCUUCGGGUUGUAAAGUACUUUCAGCGGGGAGGAAGGCGAUGCGGUUAAUAACCGCGUCGAUUGACGUUACCCGCAGAAGAAGCACCGGCUAACUCCGUGCCAGCAGCCGCGGUAAUACGGAGGGUGCAAGCGUUAAUCGGAAUUACUGGGCGUUAAAGCGCACGCAGGCGGUCUGUUAAGUCAGAUGUGAAAUCCCCGGGCUUAACCUGGGAACUGCAUUUUGAACUGGCAGGCUUGAGUCUUGUAGAGGGGGUAGAAUUCCAGGUGUAGCGGUGAAAUGCGUAGAGAUCUGGAGGAAUACCGGGUGGCGAAGGCGGCCCCUGGGACAAAGCUGACGCUCAGGUGCGAAAGCGUGGGGAGCAAACAGGGAUUAGAUACC